UACGUAGGGUGCGAGCGUUGUCCGGAAUUAUUGGGCGUAAAGAGCUCGUAGGCGGCUUGUCGCGUCGGAUGUGAAAUCCCCGGGCUCAACCCGGGAACUGCGUCCGAGACUGAAAGGCUCGAAUCCGGGAGAGGGAUGUGGAAUUCCAGGUGUAGCGGUGAAAUGCGUAGAUAUCUGGAGGAACAUCGGUGGCGAAGGCGGCAUCCUGGACCGGUAUUGACGCUGAGGCGCGAAAGCCAGGGGAGCAAACGGG
rnacentral:rRNA from 1 species